rnacentral:rRNA from 1 species
UGAGGAAUAUUGGUCAAUGGACGAGAGUCUGAACCAGCCAAGUAGCGUGAAGGAUGACUGCCCUAUGGGUUGUAAACUUCUUUUAUACGGGAAUAAAGUGAGGCACGUGUGCCUUUUUGUAUGUACCGUAUGAAUAAGGAUCGGCUAACUCCGUGCCAGCAGCCGCGGUAAUACGGAGGAUCCGAGCGUUAUCCGGAUUUAUUGGGUUUAAAGGGAGCGUAGGCGGGUUGUUAAGUCAGUUGUGAAAGUUUGCGGCUCAACCGUAAAAUUGCAGUUGAUACUGGCGACCUUGAGUGCAACAGAGGUAGGCGGAAUUCGUGGUGUAGCGGUGAAAUGCUUAGAUAUCACGAAGAACUCCGAUUGCGAAGGCAGCUUACUGGAUUGUAACUGACGCUGAUGCUCGAAAGUGUGGGUAUCAAACAGGAUUAGAUACCCUGGUAGUCCACACAGUAAACGAUGAAUACUCGCUGUUGGCGAUAUACGGUCAGCGGCCAAGCGAAAGCAUUAAGUAUUCCACCUGGGGAGUACGCCGGCAACGGUGAAACUCAAAGGAAUUGACGGGGGCCCGCACAAGCGGAGGAACAUGUGGUUUAAUUCGAUGAUACGCGAGGAACCUUACCCGGGCUUAAAUUGCAACUGACUGAACCGGAAACGGUUCUUUCUUCGGACAGUUGUGAAGGUGCUGCAUGGUUGUCGUCAGCUCGUGCCGUGAGGUGUCGGCUUAAGUGCCAUAACGAGCGCAACCCUUAUCGAUAGUUACUAGCAGGUCAUGCUGAGGACUCUAUUGAGACUGCCGUCGUAAGAUGUGAGGAAGGUGGGGAUGACGUCAAAUCAGCACGGCCCUUACGUCCGGGGCUACACACGUGUUACAAUGGGGGGUACAGAAGGCAGCUACACGGCGACGUGGUGCUAAUCCCGAAAGCCUCUCUCAGUUCGGAUUGGAGUCUGCAACCCGACUCCAUGAAGCUGGAUUCGCUAGUAAUCGCGCAUCAGCCACGGCGCGGUGAAUACGUUCCC